UACGUAGGGACCGAGCGUUGUCCGGAUUUAUUGGGCGUAAAGAGCGUGUAGGCGGCCAGGUAGGUCUGCUGUGAAAACUCGAGGCUCAACCUCGAGACGUCGGCGGAAACCAUCUGGCUAGAGUCCGGAAGAGGAGAGUGGAAUUCCUGGUGUAGCGGUGAAAUGCGCAGAUAUCAGGAAGAACACCCGUGGCGAAGGCGGCUCUCUGGGACGGUACUGACGCUGAGACGCGAAAGCGUGGGGAGCGAACAGG
rnacentral:rRNA from 1 species